rnacentral:rRNA from 3 species
GGUUAAGCGACUAAGCGUACACGGUGGAUGCCCUGGCAGUCAGAGGCGAUGAAGGGCGUGCUAAUCUGCGAUAAGCGCCGGUAAGGUGAUAUGAACCGUUAUAACCGGCGAUACCCGAAUGGGGAAACCCAGUGUGAUUCGUCACACUAUCAUUAACUGAAUCCAUAGGUUAAUGAGGCGAACCGGGGGAACUGAAACAUCUAAGUACCCCGAGGAAAAGAAAUCAACCGAGAUUCCCCCAGUAGCGGCGAGCGAACGGGGAGGAGCCCAGAGCCUGAAUCAGCAUGUGUGUUAGUGGAAGCGUCUGGAAAGGCGCGCGAUACAGGGUGACAGCCCCGUACACAAAAGCGCAUGUGCUGUGAGCUCGAUGAGUAGGGCGGGACACGUGGUAUCCUGUCUGAAUAUGGGGGGACCAUCCUCCAAGGCUAAAUACUCCUGACUGACCGAUAGUGAACCAGUACCGUGAGGGAAAGGCGAAAAGAACCCCGGCGAGGGGAGUGAAAAAGAACCUGAAACCGUGUACGUACAAGCAGUGGGAGCACAGGUUUACCUGUGUGACUGCGUACCUUUUGUAUAAUGGGUCAGCGACUUAUAUUCUGUAGCAAGGUUAACCGAAUAGGGGAGCCGGAGGGAAACCGAGUCUUAAU